UGUUAGCAUCACCAUGGUCUGAAGGAGAGAUACAACAUGUUAGCAUCACCAUGGUCUGAAGGAGAGAUACAACAUGUUAGCAUCACCAUGGUCUGAAGGUAGAGAUACAACAUGUUAGCAUCACCAUGGUCUGAAGGUAGAGAUACAACAUGUUAGCAUCACCAUGGCCUGAAGGAGAGAUACAACAUGUUAGCAUCACCAUGGUCUGAAGGAGAGAUACAACAUGUUAGCAUCACCAUGGUCUGAAGGAGAGAUACAACAUGUUAGCAUCACCAUGGAUACAACAUGUUAGCAUCACCAUGGCCUGAAGGAGAGAUACAAAAUGUUAGCAUCACCAUGGUCUGAAGGGAGAGAGACAACAUGUUAGCAUCACCAUGGUCUGAAGGUAGAGAUACAACAUGUUAGCAUCACCAUGGUCUGAAGGAGAGAUACAACAUGUUAGCAUCACCAUGGUCUGAAGGUAGAGAUACAACAUGUUAGCAUCACCAUGGUCUGAAGGGAGAGAGACAACAUGUUAGCAUCACCAUGGUCUGAAGGUAGAGAUACAACAUGUUAGCAUCACCAUGGCCUGAAGGAGAGAUACAAAAUGUUAGCAUCACCAUGGUCUGAAGGGAGAGAGACAACAUGUUAGCAUCACCAUGGUCUGAAGGUAGAGAUACAACAUGUUAGCAUCACCAUGGCCUGAAGGAGAGAUACAACAUGUUAGCAUCACCAUGGUCUGAAGGGAGAGAGACAACAUGUUAGCAUCACCAUGGUCUGAAGGUAACAGUAGCAUGUUAGCAUCACCAUGGCCUGAAGGAGAGAUACAACAUGUUAGCAUCACCAUGGUCUGAAGGAGAGAGACAACAUGUUAGCAUCACCAUGGUCUGAAGGAGAGAGACAACAUGUUAGCAUCACCAUGGUCUGAAGGAGAGAUACAACAUGUUAGCAUCACCAUGGUCUGAAGGAGAGAUACAACAUGUUAGCAUCACCAUGGUCUGAAGGAGAGACACAACAUGUUAGCAUCACCAUGGUCUGAAGGUAGAGAGACAACAUGUUAGCAUCACCAUGGUCUGAAGGAGAGAUACAACAUGUUAGCAUCACCAUGGUCUGAAGGAGAGAUACAACAUGUUAGCAUCACCAUGGCCUGAAGGUAACAGUAGCAUGUUAGCAUCACCAUGGCCUGAAGGAGAGAUACAACAUGUUAGCAUCACCAUGGUCUGAAGGAGAGAUACAACAUGUUAGCAUCACCAUGGUCUGAAGGAGAGACACAACAUGUCAGCAUCACCAUGGUCUGAAGGAGAGAUACAACAUGUUAGCAUCACCCUGGCCCGAAGGGAGAGAUACAACAUGUUAGCAUCACCAUGGUCUGAAGGUAACAGCAGCACAGUAGCAUGUUAGCAUCACCAUGGCCUGAAAGUAACAACAGCACAGUAGCAUGUUAGCAUCACCAUGGCCUGAUGGUAACAACAGCACAGUAGCAUGUUAGCAUCACCAUGGCCUGAAUGUAACAGUAGCAUGUUAGCAUCACCAUGGCCUGAAGGUAACAGUAGCAUGUUAGCAUCACCAUGGUCUGAAGGUUACAGUAGCAUGUUAGCAUCACCAUGGCCUGAAGGUAACAGCAGCACAGUAGCAUGUUAGCAACAUCAGUAUUUUACCACUGUUUGCUAUAACUAGUCUAUCUCCAGGGGGUGGAAGUGGAGGCUUGUCGACCUUCGGGGUCAGAACAACGGUGUUGACCGAGUGGCAGGUUUGGUUGCUGGGCAGACGACAGGCCACACACAGCUGAACAUGCUUUGACAUGUUCGUAGAGGACUAGUGCUUGUGUGUCCUCAGUGACUCAUCUCAUCUGAGUAAAUCCAUCACAGGAUGUAGACUCUCACUCAUUCUGAAGACAAACUGAAUCUCUGAAUCUCUCUCUCUCUCUCUC